rnacentral:rRNA from 1 species
GUUGUAUGGUUAAGUGACUAAGCGUACACGGUGGAUGCCUUGGCAGUCAGAGGCGAUGAAGGACGUAUUAACUUGCGAUAAGCCCAGAUUAGGUAGUAAAAACCAUUUGAGUCUGGGAUUUCCGAAUGGGGAAACCCACUAGCAUAAGCUAGUAUCGCUGCGUGAAUACAUAGCGCAGCGAGGCGAACCGGGGGAACUGAAACAUCUAAGUACCCCGAGGAAAAGAAAUCAACCGAGAUUCCGAAAGUAGCGGCGAGCGAAAUUGGACUAGCCCUUAAGCUUUUUAUGCGUCAGGUGAAACUUCUGGAAAGUUGUGCGAUACAGGGUGAUAGCCCCGUAACCGGCAACGCAUAUAAAGUGAAAUCGAGUAGGGCGGGACACGUGAUAUCCUGUCUGAAUAUGGGGGGACCAUCCUCCAAGGCUAAAUACUACUGACUGACCGAUAGUGAACCAGUACCGUGAGGGAAAGGCGAAAAGAACCCCUGUGAGGGGAGUGAAAUAGAACCUGAAACCGUGUACGUACAAGCAGUAGGAGCACCUUCGUGGUGUGACUGCGUACCUUUUGUAUAAUGGGUCAGCGACUUAUAUUCAGUGGCAAGGUUAACCAUCUAGGGGAGCCGUAGGGAAACCGAGUCUUAACUGGGCGUUCAGUCUCUGGAUAUAGACCCGAAACCAGGUGAUCUAGCCAUGGGCAGGUUGAAGGUUGAGUAACAUCAACUGGAGGACCGAACCGACUAAUGUUGAAAAAUUAGCGGAUGACUUGUGGCUAGGGGUGAAAGGCCAAUCAAACCUGGAGAUAGCUGGUUCUCCCCGAAAGCUAUUUAGGUAGCGCCUCGGACGAAUACUACUGGGGGUAGAGCACUGUUAAGGCUAGGGGGUCAUCCCGACUUACCAACCCUUUGCAAACUCCGAAUACCAGUAAGUACUAUCCGGGAGACACACGGCGGGUGCUAACGUCCGUCGUGGAGAGGGAAACAACCCAGACCGCCAGCUAAGGUCCCAAAUUACUACUAAGUGGGAAACGAUGUGGGAAGGCUCAGACAGCCAGGAUGUUGGCUUAGAAGCAGCCAUCAUUUAAAGAAAGCGUAAUAGCUCACUGGUCGAGUCGGCCUGCGCGGAAGAUGUAACGGGGCUAAGUAGUAAACCGAAGCUGCGGCAAUGCACUUUAGUGCAUUGGGUAGGGGAGCGUUCUGUAAGCGGUUGAAGGUGUGUGGUAACGCAUGCUGGACGUAUCAGAAGUGCGAAUGCUGACAUGAGUAACGAUAAAGGGGGUGAAAAACCUCCUCGCCGGAAGACCAAGGGUUCCUGUCCAACGUUAAUCGGGGCAGGGUAAGUCGACCCCUAAGGCGAGGCCGAAAGGCGUAGUCGAUGGGAAACGGGUUAAUAUUCCCGUACUUCUUACAAUUGCGAUGGGGGGACGGAGAAGGCUAGGUGGGCCUGGCGACGGUUGUCCAGGUUCAAGUGCGUAGGCUUAAGAGUUAGGUAAAUCCGGCUCUUUCUAAGGCUGAGACACGACGUCGAGCUACUACGGUAGUGAAGUCAUUGAUGCCAUGCUUCCAGGAAAAGCCUCUAAGCUUCAGAUUGUAAGGAAUCGUACCCCAAACCGACACAGGUGGUCGGGUAGAGAAUACCAAGGCGCUUGAGAGAACUCGGGUGAAGGAACUAGGCAAAAUGGUACCGUAACUUCGGGAGAAGGUACGCUCUCGACGGUGAAGUCCCUUGCGGAUGGAGCUAUUGAGAGUCGCAGAUACCAGGUGGCUGCAACUGUUUAUUAAAAACACAGCACUGUGCAAAAUCGUAAGAUGACGUAUACGGUGUGACGCCUGCCCGGUGCCGGAAGGUUAAUUGAUGGGGUUAGACUUCGGUCGAAGCUCUUGAUCGAAGCCCCGGUAAACGGCGGCCGUAACUAUAACGGUCCUAAGGUAGCGAAAUUCCUUGUCGGGUAAGUUCCGACCUGCACGAAUGGCGUAAUGAUGGCCACGCUGUCUCCACCCGAGACUCAGUGAAAUUGAAAUCGCUGUGAAGAUGCAGUGUACCCGCGGCUAGACGGAAAGACCCCGUGAACCUUUACUACAGCUUGGCACUGAACAUUGACCCUACAUGUGUAGGAUAGGUGGGAGGCUUUGAAGCACAGUCGCUAGAUUGUGUGGAGCCGUCCUUGAAAUACCACCCUUGUAGUGUUGAUGUUCUAACGUUGACCCCUAAUCGGGGUUGCGGACAGUGCCUGGUGGGUAGUUUGACUGGGGCGGUCUCCUCCCAAAGCGUAACGGAGGAGCACGAAGGUGGGCUAAUCACGGUUGGACAUCGUGAGGUUAGUGCAAUGGCAUAAGCCCGCUUGACUGCGAGAAUGACGGUUCGAGCAGGUGCGAAAGCAGGUCAUAGUGAUCCGGUGGUUCUGAAUGGAAGGGCCAUCGCUCAACGGAUAAAAGGUACUCCGGGGAUAACAGGCUGAUACCGCCCAAGAGUUCAUAUCGACGGCGGUGUUUGGCACCUCGAUGUCGGCUCAUCACAUCCUGGGGCUGAAGUCGGUCCCAAGGGUAUGGCUGUUCGCCAUUUAAAGUGGUACGCGAGCUGGGUUUAGAACGUCGUGAGACAGUUCGGUCCCUAUCUGCCGUGGGCGUUGGAAGAUUGAAGGGGGCUGCUCCUAGUACGAGAGGACCGGAGUGGACGAACCUCUGGUGUUCGGGUUGUGUCGCCAGACGCAUUGCCCGGUAGCUAAGUUCGGAAUCGAUAACCGCUGAAAGCAUCUAAGCGGGAAGCGAGCCCUGAGAUGAGUCUUCCCUGAUACUUUAAGUAUCCUAAAGGGUUGUUCGAGACUAGAACGUUGAUAGGCAGGGUGUGUAAGCGUUGUGAGGCGUUGAGCUAACCUGUACUAAUUGCCCGUGAGGCUUAACCAUACAACACCCAAGGGGUUU